rnacentral:rRNA from 1 species
UCGAGGAUAUUUAGCAAUGGACGAAAGUCUGACUAUGUGACGCCGCGUGAGGGAUGAAGGCCUUCGGGUUGUAAACCUCUUUCAAUGGGGAAGAAAAUUCCAGUUAAUACCUGGAACUGACGGUACCUAGAGAAGAAGCCAUGGCCAACUCUGUGCCAGCAGCCGCGGUAAUACAGAGAUGGCGAGCGUUACUCGGAUUUAUUGGGUGUAAAGGGCAGGUAGGUGUCUUUGCAAGUCAGGAGUGAAAUCCUAUGGCUCAACCAUAGAACUGCUUUUGAAACUGUAAAGAUUGAGGAUAGAAGAGGAGAGCGGAAUUCCCGGUGUAAGGGUGAAAUCUGUAGAUAUCGGGAGGAACACCAGUGGCGAAAGCGGCUCUCUGGUCUAUCCCUGACGCUGAUCUGCGAAAGCUAGGGGAGCAAACAGG